AUGCCACCGCCGCCCACCAGGGCAGCCAGGCGUUCGGAGAUUGCCCGUAUCCGUUCCUCUUUGCUGCAGGCGGCGAGAGAAGGGCCGAGGUACGCCCCCGACAGCACGCUAUGGGAGUUGUACUUCCGUCGUCGCCACGCCGAGCAAUUCGAGGCCACCAACAGCAUCGUGCCCUCCGAGAAGCACAAAGCCGACGGCCACCGCCGAUGGUGGGGCGUGCUCGGCCGCACACUAGAGGCCGUCCUCAAGUACAUCGAGGGCGGCAACACGCCGAGGCUGGAGUACCCCGCUCCCCCACCUUCUCCCACCAGCGUGGGAGCUCCUGGACGCCCGCAUGGACCCUACGUCCUCCUCCUCUUCCGGCCACUUUUCUGGCUCUCCCUCCCUCCUCCCCGUCAAGCCGGAGCCCCAGGACGCGUCGAUCAGCCGGCGCACCCACAACUGCGGUGUCCGCAUCACCGAGUCCUCCCCCACCUCUGCCCGGCUCGUUAG
rnacentral:rRNA from 1 species